GCGGUUAGGAGCUUACACCCACCCGUGUUUACAUACUAUUGUUGCUNAGGCGGGCCGUGGCCUCCACUGCGGGCUCUGCUCGUGUGUGCCCGCCAGAGGACCAAACUCUGAAUGUUAGUGAUGUCUGAGUACUAUCUAAUAGUUAAAACUUUCAACAACGGAUCUCUUGGUUCUGGCAUCGAUGAAGAACGCAGCGAAAUGCGAUAAGUAAUGUGAAUUGCAGAAUUCAGUGAAUCAUCGAAUCUUUGAACGCACAUUGCGCCCUGUGGUAUUCCGCAGGGCAUGCCUGUUCGAGCGUCAUUUAACCACUCACGCCUAGCGUGGUAUUGGGGCACGCGGUCUCGCGGCCCUCAAAAUUAGUGGCGGCGCCGGUGGGCUCUAAGCGUAGUACAUACUCCCGCUAUAGAGUUCCCCCGGUGGCUCGCCAGAACCCCCAAUUUUUUACAGGUUGACCUCGGAUCAGGUAGGGAUACCCGCUGAACUUAAGCAUAUCAAUAAGCGGAGGAAAAGAAACCAACAGGGAUUACCUCAGUAACGGCGAGUGAAGCGGUAACAGCUCAAAUUUGAAAGCUGCCAACAGGCCGCGUUGUAAUUUGUAGAAGCUGCUUUGGGUGUCGGCCCGGUCUAAGUUCCUUGGAACAGGACGUCAUAGAGGGUGAGAAUCCCGUAUGUGAUCGGUGCCGUUGCCCGUGUAAAGCGCUUUCGACGAGUCGAGUUGAUUGGG
rnacentral:rRNA from 1 species